GACUGAGGAGGCGACCGUUAUCCGGAGUCAUUGGGCGUAAAGGGUACGUAGGCGGCUAGUCAAGUCUGAGGUUAAAGACCACAGCUUAACUGUGGGAAGGCCUUGGAAACUGACUGGCUAGAGUGGGGCAGGGGUUGCGGGAAUUCCCGGUGUAGCGGUGAGAUGCGUAGAUAUCGGGAAGAACACCUGAGGCGAAAGCGCGCAACUGGGCCCUAACUGACGCUGAGGUACGAAAGCUAGGGGAGCGAAUGGG
rnacentral:rRNA from 1 species